rnacentral:rRNA from 1 species
GCUGNCGGCGCGCUUAACACAUGCAAGUCGAACGAGAAAGUGGAGCAAUCCAUGAGUAAAGUGGCGUACGGGUGAGUAACACGUGGGUAAUCUANNNCUUAGUGGGGAAUAACGCUGGGAAACCGGCGCUAAUACCGCAUAAGCCUGAGAAGGGAAAGCAGCAAUGCGCUGAGAGAGGAGCCCGCGGCCGAUUAGCUAGUUGGUAGGGUAAGAGCCUACCAAGGCAUAGAUCGGUAGCCGGCCUGAGAGGGCACACGGCCACACUGGCACUGAAACACGGGCCAGACUCCUACGGGAGGCAGCAGUGGGGAAUCUUGCACAAUGGGGGCAACCCUGAUGCAGCGACGCCGCGUGAACGAUGAAGCCCUUCGGGGUGUAAAGUUCUUUCGGCAGGGAAGAUAGUGACGGUACCUGCAGAAGCAGCUGCGGCUAACUACGUGCCAGCAGCCGCGGUAAUACGUAGGCAGCGAGCGUUGUUCGGAGUUACUGGGCGUAAAGGGUGUGUAGGCGGUGCUUUAAGUUUGGUGUGAAAUCUCCCGGCUCAACUGGGAGGGUGCGCCGAAUACUGAAGUGCUAGAGUAUGGGAGAGGAAAGUGGAAUUCCUGGUGUAGCGGUGAAAUGCGUAGAUAUCAGGAGGAACACCUGUGGUGUAGACGGCUUUCUGGACCAUAACUGACGCUGAGACACGAAAGCGUGGGUAGCAAACAGGAUUAGAUACCCUGGUAGUCCACGCCCUAAACGAUGCAUAUUUGGUGUGGGCCAUUCAUUUGGUCCGUGCCGGAGCUAACGCGUUAAAUAUGCCGCCUGGGGAGUACAGUCGCAAGGCUGAAACUCAAAUGAAUUGACGG